GAUGAACGCUGGCGGCGUGCCUAAUACAUGCAAGUCGAGCGAAGCGGGGACGGGUGAGUAACACGUGGAUAACCUCCUAUAAGACUGGGAUAACUUCGGGAAACCGGAGCUAAACCGAAUACUUCUAGAUGGAUCCGCGCUGCAUUAGCUAGUUGGUAAGGUAACGGCUUACCAAGCCAACGAUGCAUAGCCGACCUGUGAGGGUGAUCUGCCACACUGGAACUGAGACACGGCCCAGACUCCUGCGGGAGGCAGCAGUAGGGAAUCUUUCGCAAUGGGCGUAAGCCUGAUGGAGCAAUGCCGCGUGAGUGAUGAAGGUCCUCGGAUCGUAAAACUCUGUCAUUAGGGAAGCGUUACCUAAUCAGAAAGCCACGGCUAACUACGUGCCAGCAGCCGCGGUAAUUC
rnacentral:rRNA from 1 species